GGGUAAUCUCCUGGGUCAAGCACCCCCUAGACAAAUGCACAGCAACUCAUCCAUUCCUUUUUUGCAACACGUUUAUUGAGAGGCAGUUGUGCUCCAGCCUUCCAGGAGGUCACAGUCUUAGGGGAAGCAGUGCAAUGGAGGUUGGAAGCAGGGGAACCCUUUACUGAAGGCUGAGCGCUGGCUGGCACACUAGGCCUGGCAGCACUGGAGGGCAGGCAGGGAAAGUAGGGUGGGUAACCCAGCCUGGCAAAUGCACGGCAGCUAGAAAACCUCUUCAGGUUCUGGGGUGGCUGGGCCAUGAGAGGGGAGGCCAGGCAGGGCUGUCAAGGUAACCGGGGUCAGAUCAUGGAGUUGCCUGCCAGGCUCCACAGGAGUGGGGGACAGAAGCAGAGCAACCCAGCUACCAGCCGGGCCCUGAGCUCCCUCAGGGUGACCAGGGAGGAGCUGUGACUGGCUGGGGAGGCAGGGCUGGGGCCGAGGUUCCCCAGGACGACAGGAGGGAGCCAAGGCACUCUAAGAGGUGGAAGAAGAGGACCAGAAGCUGGUGAGUGCAUCACUGGAGCCCAUAGGAGGGCUCCUGACUGUCCUCAAAAGCCUCAGACCUCAGUGUCCACUUUCUCCAUCCAAGAAAUGGGGCUGUGAUCUCUGCUUAUGACAGCACAAGCUUGCACAGAAGUGGAGGCGGGAAAUAAGCACAAGUGUGCCUUCCCAGCCCGGCCUGGGUCCAGGCAGAACAGCUGAUACUGGCCCCAGUCUGCCCACCCACCCCUGCUGGCCAGGAGGCUGGCAGAACCCCAGCCCCACCUGCCUGGAGCGCGUUUGAUUUGGACUCGACUGUUGUGGUGAUGGAGGGGGGCUGGAUCUGUAGCUAAAAAUACCUCGGAGCCAAGCCAGCUGCUCAGAGCUUCCUCGGAGGCUGGGCCGCGCUGGGCCCACUGAGGAACUGGGCAUGCCCACCCAGGAGGUAGCUCCCUUACCUGCUAGAGGUUGAGGGCCUGAGUCACUCCCCCUUCCAGUCACCAGGACUACCUUAGUGGGAGGACUGUCAGAGUCAAACUAGGCCUGCCCCUGCCGUUGACAGAAGGAAAGAUUGUCCAUUCGGGGGGUGCCCGAACGUCGCCCCUUCUCCGGCCCAGAAC
rnacentral:lncRNA from 1 species